CUUUGAUUCAGAUUCAGAAGUUCUAUCAUCACAAUGGAUGAUAAAAAAGAAAAAGGAAAAGUGGUGGAAGACCUCACCACAUCUCUUGGAAAACUUCAGAUUGAUCGGUGAAAGCUCCACCUCCAAUGAUAUUCUUCCCCUCAUUGCAACCGAUCAGGAUAAUAACCACCAUGAGGAUGUGAAUGCCUUGGAUCUCCCCAUGUUGCCAACAAUUUUAAUAACGAUGAUGAGGUAUCAACCACAUGUCUUUAAUUUGUUUAAAAUAUUUAGUUUGGAGUAAGCUAAUGGUUUAUUUGACUUGUAUUUUAGGAUGUGGUUGCU